CUCAAUCAUAGCCACGAACACCUCCUCUCUCUUCUCUAUCUUCUCACACCAUGCACAUCUCGCUGUCCACCACCGGCCGCCGGAGAAGAGCGGAAGACCGGCGAUUUGGGCGGCGCCCUGUGCAGGCAUGCUGUUCAGCCAGCCGCUCGCGACGCUGGCCAUGUUCAACCUCGAGCAUGGCAGUGGCCCGGACAUCUACGGCAUCUCGGAGAUCGACGGCUUCAACUUGCUAUGCGGCUCGCCGGCGUGAUGCGUGUGCGUUGUCCGGCGUUGUACCUCAAAGACCGUCUGGUGCAUGCCCACAGGGAUUGAUGAAGGGGAUCGAUGGUGGUAGCUAGCUAGUGCGGCAAAUACUUCUCAGCCGCUGUAAUUUUCGGGAAGCACUAGGAAUCAGACUACUAUUCCUAGCCAACCAUCAGACUAGCAUGCAGCCGUUGGAUCACAACCUGGUGGACCGUUGGAUAGUACUGAGUUAUUUGGAUUUUGGAAGCAAGUUUGUUGAGAUAUGGAAGCACGUAAUAUAGGGAAACUAAGAAAUACCAGAUAUUUAGGAAACUAAUCGAGGAGUUUCAGGAAAAUAAUUAGCGGGGAAUUAAUGUAGCGUUGAGACUUUCCAAAAGCAUUUUUCUUCCUUAUGAAUCACAGUUUAUUUCCUUACGAA